rnacentral:tRNA from 4 species
GCGGGCAUAGUAUAGCGAUAGUACGACUGCCUUCCAAGCAGUAGGCGCGAGUUUGACUCUCGCUGCCCGCA